CUUAUACUUACUCCAUCCAGAAGUACUUGUCUGGGAAAUAGAUGUAUCUAGACGUAUUUUAGUUCUAGAUACAUCCAUUGAUCCAUUUCUGCGACAAGUAUUACUAGACGGAGGGAGUAUCUU
rfam:Triticum aestivum genome assembly, contig: Triticum_aestivum_CS42_TGACv1_scaffold_272098_3DS